rnacentral:tRNA from 1 species
GUUGUGGCUCAGUGGUAGAGUGCUUGCCUAGCAUGUGCAGGGUCCUGGAUUCAAUCCUAAGCAUCACA